rnacentral:misc_RNA from 1 species
AAAGUCGUAACAAGGUAACCGUAGGUGAACCUGCGGUUGGAUCAUUAAUGAUAUGGGUCGCUGCUUCUUGCAGUGUACCUCGAGAGAGCCCUUGUCUUUAUCGGCAAGCGGCACCUCCAACACCUUUGUGAACCUGUUUAUCUGUCUCUAGCGUGUUUCGCACGCUAAUUUAAACUUUAUGAAAUAAACUUGCCUCUAAAAAAAUAAAAAAAGUAAUUAAAACAACUUUUGACAACGGAUCUCUAGGCUCUC